UCUCCUGGAAAACGGGUGGUAAUGCCGGAUGCUCCGACUCCUCGCAUGGGGUGUCGGGAAAGAUUUCAUCGGUAUGGGAUGGGGUCGCGUCCUAUCAGGUAGUCGGCGGGGUAACGGCCCACCGAGCCUACGACGGGUAGCCGGCCUGAGAGGGCGACCGGCCACAUUGGGACUGAGAUACGGCCCAGACUCCUACGGGAGGCAGCAGUGGGGAAUAUUGCACAAUGGGCGCAAGCCUGAUGCAGCGACGCCGCGUGCGGGAUGACGGCCUUCGGGUUGUAAACCGCUUUUGAUCGGGAGCAAGCCUUCGGGUGAGUGUACCUUUCGAAUAAGCACCGGCUAACUACGUGCCAGCAGCCGCGGUAAUACGUAGGGUGCAAGCGUUAUCCGGAAUUAUUGGGCGUAAAGGGCUCGUAGGCGGUUCGUCGCGUCCGGUGUGAAAGUCCAUCGCUUAACGGUGGAUCUGCGCCGGGUACGGGCGGGCUGGAGUGCGGUAGGGGAGACUGGAAUUCCCGGUGUAACGGUGGAAUGUGUAGAUAUCGGGAAAGAA
rnacentral:rRNA from 1 species